GGCGUUUUGACUUGCAUCAGCCACUGUAUGAAUGUCAAACAUGCCAGCAGCAAUGGACCCCUGACUUUAAAGACCUCCUAAGACGUGGAUAUUGGCCAGCCUCCGUCACCAAUUCCACACUUUAUACACUGGACCUCUUGAGCUCCCUUCAGGAACUCAAGAUCAUAUGUCCGGGAUUCUCCAGACAAGCCUUCGCAAAGCUGCUGGAGCAUCGCACUAAGUGUGGAGGAAGAUCUGGACCUAUCAACGGCGAUGCACUGCAGCGCAGCUUUUUAGAGCUUUCAUAUGCAUCAUUUGAGGAAGACCAGCUCUGCUGUAGUGCUCCUUUCACCUGCCCAGCCUGCACACCAGAAAUGUUGGCUGUUUCAGCAGAUGGAAAUAGAAAGCUAUAUCGCUUUCGCCGAAACGGAAGCUCUGAUGAUCCUGGCUUUUUUGAGGGGCUCUUUGUGGCUGAAGACAGUGCAGUGUCUACAUUUGUCAACACCAUACAGAAAGCAGUAAAAAAUGCAAGUUGACAAAAUAGUUGUUACAAUAAUAACCGUAACCCCCACUUCAAUUACUUCUGCCUACCAAUUACAAAAUCAAAUUGAGAGAAUAAAUGCCAUAUAUUGAAUGACACCAUUGCUUUUAUUUGAUUUGUCAUGUUUGUUUUGUGUGUCAUAGACACAGGGAAGAGGCACAUUUGGGGACUCCCAGUGGACAGCAGCGAGGGAAACUUCAAGGAGGGCUUCAAAAUUGGACGAAGAAGGGAUGGAGGUUGCUGUGUGUCGCCAUGGGUUCCUUUUGAAAGCCCUUAAUAUGUACAGGGGAGAGAUAUCUGCCUACCCUCUGUAUCUUCAAAAGGAGCUCAUGCCAGCCAAGGCACAAUUCUUCGCAAUGGAUGUGGCAUGCAAAUACUGGCCAUACCUGGAUAAAGUUGCUAAUGUCCUUCCUGCUCUUCAGGAGCUGACCACUAUGAAACCCUUUCUCAGUGUAAUGCAUGCUCGAGCCCAUGCUACUAAGUGUGAGAUUAAUUGGAGUGGCAGGAACCAGGAAGGAGCAGGAACAACAGCUGGUGAGGGUUGUGCCCUGACGACCAAAUAUAUGUCCAAAGCAGCACGGGUGGACAUGCUUACCUUGCAUGCAGUGGGGUGGAACCACAAAACAAGUCUCUCUCUACAUCAGGCACUUUCCACAAGAUAUGUGAAGACUUGUCAGAGACUCCAUGAUGAGACUGCAAGGCUAGCUGACCUAAAAACAGAGCUAGAUUGCACAGAUAAAUUGGUGUCACAGUGGCUAUCUGAUGUGAAGGAAUGGGCAGCUGGUGAGACACCUGAUACAUAUAGUGCCAGUCAAGGCACAACACACAGAGGAAUUCAGCAAUUAAUUGAGGGGCUCUACUUUAGUGUGAGGCACCGGAAGCGAACCCUCUACCGUCAGAAUGACAGCAGCAAGUUUCGCCAUCGCCUUCGAAGAAAGCUGGCAGAAGACAAAAAACUCCUUCUUCAGGAGAUACAGAAAUACAAUGAUCUUGUACUAGAAUCGGCAACAACCAUUGACGUAGCUGUGGUGGAGCAUUCCCUAACUGGAGAGAGUACUGUGUCUCAAAUAUGGCCGUGGGAAGUUCAUGGCAGUGCAAACAUUUCAAUCAAGAAACGAGUGCACGAUCAAGUGAUGUUAACAAGGCGACUGCAUGAGGAAACAAGAGUUUUGGUUUUGGAGAUGGCACAACACUGCACAUGGUUGCAGAGCCUGGCAAUGGUUCUCAAGAACAAGUUGGCUGAGGAGGACCAGGGAAAUGAGGGACUUUGCUGUCUCUUAAGAAGAAGACUGUCAGAGGUGUCAGAAAGGUUCCAAGUGGUCCUCCAACAGUACAAGACUGCCUUAGGUCCUGAGGCCUCUGUCCUUCUACAUGUUGAAGAGGAAGAUCAAAGUGACCUCAGUAGUCCAGACACCAGUGAGGAUGAAGAGGAAAACACAAUUUAGAUGGAAGCUGCACGAAGGACUAUGUUGAAGGAAAUGGACUCGCCCUAUAUCUGUGUAUUAUUAGUAUGCUGGUUGAUUAACCACAUCAAAAUCUUGUUGAAAAUUCAAACUGUGUCUUUAGAUUUUCCAAGCAAUUUAGUAAGCACAUUGCACAGUUCAUUAAAAAUGCACAAACCUCUCAUUAUAGGUGCACCAAUCUUAGCCAAAAAUGUUGCAUGUAUGAUAUUACCAGAUGUAAUUACUGUGCUCAUAUGAUAUUUGGGUAGUGUAUACUCUUCUAAAAGAGAGACUCCCCUUGAUUGUGGUGACCCUGUAACCUUUCCUUUUGCACCAACGUUAGGCCAAACUUUUGACUUGCACACAACAAAUGUUAUGAACCGAUUUCUGUAAUUUUCUGAGCAAUGAAUCAUGUCAUGUUGACCUUAUGACAUUCCCUGUAGCACAAUCAUUAGACCAGAAUGUAAAAUUGAAUAUUGUCUAAUUGGGCAGAUUGCCAUGAAAUCUUGUAAGCACAUGAUGACUUUGGUGACCUCAUGACAAUUCCUCUAUCAUCACAUUUAGGCCUUAAUGUAAAAACUCAUUCUUGAUUGCAUUUCUCAAUAUUCACUUAUUCUGUGGUGCAGUGUCAGUCUAUGACAUUUUGUUUUUCCCCAGAGGAGGCUGCCUAUGGAUCACUACUUGAUUGAGUGUAUUAUAUAACUGUUGUGUAACUUUAUAUUACUGCAAAGAUGCAUUAUAGUAUGUAACAGAAAAAUACAGUUUUUUAUUUUACGAUUAUACUUUAUAUUGUAUAUUAUUACAGUUGACAGAUGACUUAAUUCUUUGUUCUGCUGGAGCUUUUCAAGUGAACUUAACCUCACAGUCCAAUGUUUUUAAAUACAGCCUUAUGGCUUGUUUGACAAAUAUGUAUUUGGUGUAUUUUCACUGGUAUUGUUGUGAAAGACAAGAAAUAAAGUAUUUCCAAAGAUGAA
rnacentral:lncRNA from 12 species